UUUAUAAAUCCUAUCCUCUACGAAAUUGCUCCUCCCCGAAGUCAUUCCCAUCAAAACAAAUUACAAUCCUUCUCUGAGCCAAUCCAUCCAACAAAUGAUGAUCAAAUUGCUACCAUUGAUCUUCCUUAUUUCAUGCUAUCUAGUCUAUCCGAUUUCGGCCCACGAAAGGGUCCUUUCACCAAUGAUCAACGGUUCAGAACCAUCCAAACUUCUUCUACAAGGAAAACAACUUCCAGUUUUCAUGAGAUAAUAUAGCAGGUUUAUUCAACGUGACUAUUGAAUUUGAUGGAAUGAGAAGCCAUGCAAGGUGGCCCAAAGGAUCCCACGUCUGGAGAUUGCGUCGCCGUGAAAGGACGGCACUAUCAGGAGCUGGGGCGAGGGUGGUCCCGAGAGGCCGCGGCACAAACAUUCCUACUCAGCCACGAGGUGGGGCCCACAGCGGGGCAUCGGCCAUGCCGGCAUUUCCCUCUCCAGUCACCUCCAACACCGUGGUGCAAGUUGGCCUUGGAUUGCUUAUUGGUUCCAUUUUAUUCCUUUGAUUAUUUUCAUGAGUUGUAUUUUAAGCAAGGAAAAAAGAAAAUAGUGGGACAUGUCCAAAGGGGAAGAUCACCGGCCCAGGCAUCAGGUCCA